UCCGGGAUCGUUCAAUGGUAGGACCUCGGCUUUUGGUGCCGAAUAUGGGGGUUCGAAUCCUCCUCCCGGAA
rnacentral:tRNA from 1 species